rnacentral:rRNA from 1 species
UACAGAGGUCUCAAGCGUUGUUCGGAUUCAUUGGGCGUAAAGGGUGCGUAGGUGGCGCGGUAAGUCGGGUGUGAAAUCUCGGGGCUUAACUCCGAAACUGCAUUCGAUACUGCCGUGCUUGAGGACUGGAGAGGAGACUGGAAUUUACGGUGUAGCAGUGAAAUGCGUAGAUAUCGUAAGGAAGACCAGUGGCGAAGGCGGGUCUCUGGACAGUUCC